AAAAUGAAUAAAAUUUGGAAAACUGGCUAUUCCCUAACUGGAAAACAUAUAAGAUCUGGAGUUAAAAAUGAAAAUUGUGGAAUUGAAAAGGAGAACAUUACUCAGUUGAAUUAGCUUAGCAUCUGCAAUAACCUGAGAGAGACCCCAUGGCAACAGAAUCCACAAAAUCCGUGGCAAUGAAGACAUAAAACAGCUUGUUUCUUCCAAAGAUUGGGUAAUUCAAUCACCAUCUUCCAGAAGGCCACCAGCAGGAGAAUGAUAGAAAUGACAUAUUUGCUGUUUGUGGAAGAAAAAAAAAAUGUAAUUGGAAGGAAAUAAGACAAGAUGUUCACAGAUAAACGAGGAAAUAUCUUCUGGCUGAAAACACCGUGAGCUAGUUUACUCAUAUGCCAACAAUAAAUCUCUGUUUUCCUCAUCACCGGCGAAGAUGGGCUACAAUGAAAUUUGAACCAUUUUUGCAUUCAGCAGAAUGGAGUAAAAAUUUGACUGACCUCACUUCAGCGAGAGGGAAGGCACG
rnacentral:lncRNA from 1 species